rnacentral:rRNA from 1 species
UAAGUCAGCCACGAAUAGGCUAUCCCAACUAACGGCGGGAAAGACUCCACGGAGGGUGUAAGACCCGUGUGGGCGCGUGUUAAAGCUGUGUGGGCUCGGCCUCCAUUCCCUGAGAGUCGCGUUGCUUGAGCAUGCAGCGCUAAGCAGGUCGUAAACUCGAUCUAAGGCUAAAUAUUUCCACAGAACCGAUAGCGAACAAGUACCGUGAGGGAAAGUUGAAAAGCACUCUGGAGAGAGAGUCAAAAGACCGUGAAACCGCUCAGAGUAUAAGCCCAUGGCAGCUUGGAAGGCAUAUCGCUAGCGGGGCAUCGGUCUCCCUUCGCGGGGAGCUGGUGUUACCUUGCUUCUGUUGUGGCUCGUCAUGGUAGGGGGGUCAGGUCCACAUCCCGCCGUCGUGUGGAGAGUUCUUGGGUGUGUUGUGGUUUCUCGGUUGGCUUCGGCUUUCCGGGGGGCUCUUCGUACUUGGUUCUCUUUUAGACACGGACGUUCAGACUCAGUUGCAAGACGCGAUAACCAGCCCACCACGGCACGUUGUGAGGUCACCCACAGGCUCGACUUUCGAUCGUGGGCCUUGACGCCGAGCAAGCACAAUGCGUGUCGCAGAUGUUCCUAACCAGGCAAUGGUGCCAGGAUCGUGGAACGACACGCGCUCAAGAGUCAGGUUCGGGCGGAGACAGAGUUCUGGUAUGAUCCUCUUGCGACGAGCCGGCUUCUGGCCGACAUCCGAUGCUCAGGUCUCCCGCAUGUGCCGCGGGAGAUCGCUUUGACGGUCUGGA